rnacentral:rRNA from 1 species
GACGAACGCUGGCGGCGUGCCUAAUACAUGCAAGUAGAACGCUGAAGGAGGAGCUUGCUCUUCUGGAUGAGUUGCGAACGGGUGAGUAACGCGUAGGUAACCUGCCUGGUAGCGGGGGAUAACUAUUGGAAACGAUAGCUAAUACCGCAUAACAGUAGAUGUUGCAUGACAUUUGCUUAAAAGGUGCAAUUGCACCACUACCAGAUGGACCUGCGUUGUAUUAGCUAGUUGGUGGGGUAACGGCUCACCAAGGCGACGAUACAUAGCCGACCUGAGAGGGGUGUGAGGCCCCCGUGGGGAGGCGACCCCCCCCAACUCCCUGCGGGGGGCGCCGUGAGGAAUUUUCGGGAAGUGGCGGGGAUUCUGACGGGGCACCGCCGGGUGAGGAAAGAGUUUUUUCGUAUCGAAAAGCUUGUUUUAAGGAAAAAACCGGGGGGGGGGGGGAAAAUUUCACACUGUGACGGUAUUUAACAAGAAAGGGCCGGCAAACUACGUG